GCUCCAGUAGCGUAUAUUAAAGUUGUUGCAGUUAAAAAGCUCGUAGUUGGAUUUCUGGUACGCUGCGCCUGGCCGCCGCGUAGCGGUGUGAGUGUCGGUGCGCGGUUGCCAUCCUUCUAGAGAACGUGUCUACCUUUAAUUAGGCCGGAUUCGGGAUCUAGAUCAUUUACUUUGAAAAAAUUAGAGUGUUUAAAGCAGGC
rnacentral:rRNA from 1 species